rnacentral:rRNA from 1 species
UACGAAGGGGGCUAGCGUUGUUCGGAAUUACUGGGCGUAAAGCGCACGUAGGCGGAUUUGUUAGUCAGGGGUGAAAUCCUGGGGCUCAACCUCGGAACUGCCUUUGAUACUGCAAGUCUCGAGUCCGGAAGAGGUGAGUGGAACUGCGAGUGUAGAGGUGAAAUUCGUAGAUAUUCGCAAGAACACCGAUUGCGAAGGCAGCUGACGAAACUAUAACUGACACUGAGGCUCGAAAGUGCGGGGAUCAAACAGG